UCGGGAAUUUUGGGCAAUGGGCGAAAGCCUGACCCAGCAACGCCGCGUGAAGGAUGAAGUAUUUCGGUAUGUAAACUUCGAAAGAAUAGGAAGAAUAAAUGACGGUACUAUUUAUAAGGUCCGGCUAACUACGUGCCAGCAGCCGCGGUAAUACGUAGGGACCAAGCGUUGUUCGGAUUUACUGGGCGUAAAGGGUGCGUAGGCGGCAUAUCAAGUCACUUGUGAAAUCUCCGGGCUUAACUCGGAACUGCCAAGUGAUACUGAUGUGCUAGAGUGCAGAAAGGGCAACUGGAAUUCUUGGUGUAGCGGUGAAAUGCGUAGAUAUCAAGAGGAACACCUGAGGCGAAGGCGAGUUGCUAGGCUGACACUGACGCUGAGGUACGAAAGCUAGGGGAGCGAACGGGAUUAGAUACCCACGUAGUCCCUGAGCGGGCUGGCAAGGCGCAU
rnacentral:rRNA from 1 species